AGCAGCCGCGGUAAUUCCAGCUCCAAUAGCGUAUAUUAAAGUUGUUGCAGUUAAAAAGCUCGUAGUUGAAUUUCGGGAUCAAUAUGUCGGUCGUGCCUUCGGUACGUACUGGUAUCAUUGGUCUCUCCUUUCUGACGAACCAUGAUGUCAUUAAUUUGGUGUUAUGGGGAGUUAGGACUGUUACUUUGAAAAAAUUAGAGUGUUUAAAGCAGGCUUUAGCUUGAAUACAUUAGCAUGGAAUAAUGAAAUAGGACGUUCGAACCUAUUUUGUUGGUUUCUAGGAUCAACGUAAUGAUUAAUAGGGAUAGUUGGGGGCAUUAGUAUUCAAUUGUCAGAGGUGAAAUUCUUGGAUUUAUUGAAGACUAACUACUGCGAAAGCAUUUGCCAAGGAUGUUUUCAUUAAUCAAGAACGAAAGUUAGGGGAUCGAAGACGAUCAGAUACCGUCGUAGUCUUAACCAUAAACUAUGCCGACUAGGGAUCGGAUGAUGUUAAUUUUUAAUGACUCAUUCGGCGCCUUAA
rnacentral:rRNA from 1 species